GAACGAAAAGGGUUCUCUUGCCCAAGCAAAUUUUUUUUCCUAAAUUUGAGAAAAUUUUACAAACACUUUCAAUAAAAAACCGGGUUGCUAUCCGACCCGAAUCCGGUACAUCAUUCGGAACGGAACUCGAAAUCCCAGCGAAGGCGAUAUUUUGUAGGCCCUUUCUGAGAUGAAGAAACGCAUUCAGGAUCAGCUGAAACCCCCGAUAAGCUCUACUGAACUGAAAAUACCAACGAUGAAUACCAACGAUGUUGAGAAGUUUCUGCUGGCGGAGGAGGACGACGAGCUGAUUGAACUGGCGGGGCGGACCUAUUUUCGGAUCUGUAGUAUCCGGAGUGGUACUUCUUCAAAUAUACCGCCACCCAGAGGAGGAGGAAAAGUCUGCAAGCUUCGGUUCGAGUUCAUUUGGCCGUAGUCGCAUCCAUUCUAUACGACAUUGCCGCCUCUUCAUGAGGAUCCUGACUUGAGGCUUAGCUUAUCAUUGGCCUUCAAUUAUCGGGAUGACAUAGCAUCCCGGGCUACUUCAAGAGUGUCCUGAUGAGGACCCGCUGAUGUUUGCGUUGGGAAAAGCACAUUGUUUUCCCAGGAUGGGAUAAUAUGAUUAUGGAUUCUGGAUUUCAUGACCAUGUCAGAAACUGAAACUGGAUCAAAUCGCCGCACAUCUUUAUGGGGAGAGCAUUAAUCUCCCCAAUGCGGCCUAUUUAUUGGAGGUCGCCAAAUGGUCUUGACUUUGGCUGAAAAUGCCAUAAGAUUCACCGACCUACAAGUUCGUCAGGAUUGACUAUCUAAACUGAGUUUCGCACAUGGAGGCUACGUUCUGCCCCAAAUUCACCUAAGGAAUGAGUGAGUGGAAAAACCCAAGAUUUGCCCUCGAAUUUUCCCUCUUGCCAAUGAGUCAAGUGCCGUGAGGCGUUGGCCAAAAUAUAUCUUUUAAAAGAUAUACCAGGAAAAUCGAUGAGGCAAUUGGGAUGUGGCCCGAGAUGAAGGAACAACCGUCUGGUCUUCCCAUAUGAGCAGAAAUGGCUCUGAAUAUACGCCACCAAUACCUACCAUAAGGGCCGUAAGGAUCAAUGUGGGCCAAGAACCCCAGGUCGCGAUUAAGCGGGCUCAACAAGUUAGACCAGUUUACAAAAAAAAAUUGAUGAAAUACGCCUUUCAGGAAACCUUUGUUUUCCGGUAA